rnacentral:rRNA from 1 species
GAUGAACGCUGGCGGCGUGCCUAAUACAUGCAAGUCGAGCGAACAGACGAGGAGCUUGCUCCUCUAACGUUAGCGGCGGACGGGUGAGUAACACGUGGAUAACCUACCUAUAAGACUGGGAUAACUUCGGGAAACCGGAGCUAAUACCGGAUAAUAUAUUGAACCGCAUGGUUCAAUAGUGAAAGACGGUUUUGCUGGCACUUAUAGAUGGAUCCGCGCCGCAUUAGCUAGUUGGUAAGGUAACAGCUUACCAAGGCAACGAUGCGUAGCCGACCUGAGAGGGUGAUCGGCCACCCUGGAACUGAGACACGGUCCAGACUCCUACGGGAGGCAGCAGUAGGGAAUCUUCCGCAAUGGGCGAAAGCCUGACGGAGCAACGCCGCGUGAGUGAUGAAGGUCUUCGGAUCGUAAAACUCUGUUAUUAGGGAAGAACAAAUGUGUAAGUAACUAUGCACGUCUUGACGGUACCUAAUCAGAAAGCCACGGCUAACUACGUG